GACUGAACCUACUAUAUCAGAAGGUUUGGAACCCUCGAUUCAUCCGACUCAAUGAGAAAAAGAGAACAACAUGGGUUUGGCUCGCUGUGCCUCCCUCUUGGGCUGUGAAAGCGGUGCGAAAAAAGUUGGGCUACCUUGCCUUGAGAGCUUCCUGAGUCUGUGAUUUCAUUGUAAGUAUUUGCUUCCAUCUCGAAAUGCUCUUUCAUGAUUGUAUGUACACAAGUUCUCGCGC
rnacentral:misc_RNA from 1 species